CAUUUUUCUGUUUUUGUUUCAGCAGCAGUUUGCAGUAUGCAGAUGGACACUGACCAGCCUGCAUUCAGUAGUUAUAUUGAAGAUAAAGGUGGAGUCAUGCUUGGAAGGCUGUACACCUCCAAAAAUCAGAGGUCAGUAUUGAAGGAACAGAAGAAGCGCCAGUCUUAUAACCUCCAAAAGCAAAGAGGAGCUUAAUAGCAAGAGGUCGAAUGGAUUGGGGUCCAAUACAGCUGCAAUGGGGAGUGUUUAUCCAAAGAAGAACUCUGUCUAGGAGAUCCAUGAGGAGGGAGCUGCAGUAAGAAACCAGAAUGCAGCAGUUCUAGAAGAGCUUGAGUUACAGUCCAUGCAUGACUGCUACAGCGAAAUGAAAACUUCUUAAAGUUUUACUUUUUUCACUUUCCCAAAAGAAAAAAUAUGCUUAAAAUUCAGCUCUACACUAGAUUUGGAACUUUAAAAUGACAUGCUGAGAAAACUGUCAUAUGUGGAUUCAUGACUGUCUAAGGUCCACUGGAUUUUGACAUUACUCGGGGGAUAUCAGAGCUUUGCAGGAGUGACAAACAGCAAUUGAGAAACAUCAGGAAGAUUCAGAAGUUCAGCUAAUUCAAAUCUCACCCUGUCAGACCCCAGGCCAAGUCCCCUCAGGACAGAGCCACGUGGGACUCCUAGUCUACUCUGCACAUGUUACUCAACUUAGGCCCAUAAAAGAUAAUAAGGCACAAGGCAUCUGCUUAUGCUUUGAAUAAUGCAUCCCUGUGACGUUUCUUAAAGUUUUGUUUAUCUGAAUCUUCAUGGUGGUUUGGCUAACCCAGUAGUUUUUGGUUGUUACCUUUUGACAAACAUCCAACAAACUUAAGUGUGACAACCCACUCUCUUCCUGUAUUUCCCUGUUCUGAAGAAAAGUUGUCAUUUCCAACAUGAGCAUCAGGACGCAACCACCUCCUUCCUCUCCAUUGUCUUCUCCCUGUAUCUGAUAGCUCCCGGAGCAUCUACGGAACUUUAAAAGUUUAUUAUGUGAAUAGAAAGACA